rnacentral:rRNA from 1 species
CCUACGGGAGGCAGCAGUAGGGAAUAUUGCUCAAUGGGGGAAACUCUGAAGCAGCAACGCCGCGUGGAGGAUGAAGGUUUUCGGAUUGUAAACUCCUUUUGUUAGAGAAGAUAAUGACGGUAUCUAACGAAUAAGCACCGGCUAACUCCGUGCCAGCAGCCGCGGUAAUACGGAGGGUGCAAGCGUUACACGGAUUCACUGGGCGUAAAGAGCGCGUAGGCGGGAUAGCAAGUCAGAUGUGAAAUCCUAUGGCUUAACCAUAGAACUGCAUUUGAAACUGUUAUUCUGGAGUAUGGGAGAGGUAGGUGGAAUUCGUGGUGUAGGGGUGAAAGCCGUAGAGAUGAAGAGGAAUACGCAUGGCGAAGGCGGCCUGCUAGAACAUAACUGACGCUGAUGCGCGAAAGCGUGGGGAGCAAACAGGAUUAGAUACCCUAGUAGUC